GCCUCCUGGGAAGGGACGGUGUCAUUGUGUUUGAUCGCAUGUGCGUGCCACAUAGGACUUGAAGCAGCGCGCAGGACUGGAUGCGUCUGUGCUUCAGUCUAUCUAUGUCUUUUGCGCCACCAGUCGAGCUGUCUUUGCGCGAUAUUUGUCGUUUUUAAUCAUGUGUGUGAAAAAUGCCAAGUUGCUUUGCGAAUGUUUCACGGUUCAGGACUCUUUGCCUUACUGCUGAUGGUGCUGGAGUGGACCCGUCCAGGCCUGUCCUCCCCAUUACGCCCCAUCUGCGACCUGCGCGUCCUCGACCACUACAUUAAGGAGGCAUGGGAUGCAGAAGCUGCUAUGAGAGCUUGUAAGGAGGAUUGCAGCAGUGCAACAAACUUCACUGUUCCUCUGACCAGAGUUGAUUUUGAUGACUGGGAAGCGAUGAAUAUAGAGGAGCAAGCUCAGGAGGUCAAGUCAGGCAUUCACGUGCUGAACGAGGCCAUCGGCUCAUUACAGGCAUUUAAUCAGACUGACGUGAUACAAUCCCACAUAGACGCCACUCUUAGAAACAUUGUCAGCAUCAGACAAGUGCUGCGAAGUCUCAGCAUACCGGAAUAUGUGCCUCCAACCAGUGGUGGAGAAGACAAGGAGACGCAGAAAGUAUCCUCGAUCUCAGAGCUGUUUCAGAUCCACGUCAACUUCCUGCGGGGAAAAGUGCGUCUCCUGCUGGCCAGUGCGCCCGUCUGCCAUCAAGGUGUCAGCUGAUACACGACUCAGGGCAAGAGUCAAACUAACUGAAGCUCCUCAUAUCAGGAGGAUAUGGACUAUUACAAAGGAUAUGUCGCCGAAGUUUGAAUGACUGGGAGUUGUAGCACUUUGAAAGAUUUCACUCAUAAAGGGAAAAGAAUACAUCCCCCAGAAUGCUAAGCGCCCCCAAUGGCUGUGUGUCGAGCAUUGGCAAACCCGACCAGAACUGCAAGAAAUCACUCCUCUUUCCCCAUAUGACUGAUGCAACUUUCCCAGCUCGACUGGGGAAGGGUUAUCUGGGACUCUGUAAAAGUGUUUUGUAUUGCUUAUGAAAUUGUCCUUAUUUAUAUAGAUUAUAUAUAUUUCCUAGAGCUGGAAUCACUGGCUCUCUAGAAAGCCUCUCUUGCUCCAUCCACCAUGGCCUCAAGCACCUCCAAACGAUGAACUGUUGAUAGAGAAGACUAUUUAUCAAUAUUAAUUAUGCACUGUAGGUUUUAUAUUCAUUUCCGUGUGUGUGUGUGUGACGUUUUGAGAAUGCUGCAGGGAAUGAGGAAGAUUGUAAUGCUGAAUACUUACGGGUCAGUUGGGGUGAACAGGAAGAAGGACUAGAUUGCUGCUUGCGUCGGGGGAAUUGAAAGCGUUCGUGAGAGAGCUGAUGAGGCUCAUGUCUGAAUCACGCCGAUGAGCGCGGCCUUGUACAGAUAACGCCGGUGCCAGGAAAAAUAUUGAUUAGUGCAUGACGAACAUCCUUCCACUUCACGCUCAACGCUGCGUACUUUCCUUUGGGAAAUGAGCGUACGGUUGACAUUUUGUUUCUCUUUUUCUGUUUGUGUUUGUGUGUUUUCGUAAAUAGGCUGUUUUUUACAUCUGUCAGUCCGGGUGCAACAAAGUCUGUUUGUAAUGUCUUUUCCUGUUAUGUGGUUCUUUAAUCACAAUGUUAUUUGGUAUUCAAAUACAAAGUAUUAUUCUUAGCUAAAAACAAGGAGAGGAAGUUUUUCUUUUCGUCUUACGAAGCAUACCCUGCUCAGCAUUCUGUACAUGAAUUUCCAAGGUGAAUUUGAUGCGAAUGCAAGUACUUUUUUUAUGAUAGAGUGAAAGCCAUUACUGGAGUUCUGCUCAAGAAUGGCUGGACAAACACUUUUAUCCAAUAAUACUCUUUUUGAAAGAAGAUCUAAUCUAUUACUGGUCAGCCAACAGCGGUCAGGUAUCCACAUUUAUUUGUAUAACACUUUUCACAAUACAGCUUUACUGGAAAAUGCAUGUUUCUACAUUACAAUUUAGUCAUUUGUUAUCAGAGGUGACUGUCAAAGUAAAGUCAAAAAUGUCCAGUUAAUAAGGUAAUACAAAUCAUGCAGUUAGCUAACGACAUGUAUUCAUUUAGAGAGAAACAAUGAGCUCAUUAAAGCAAUUAUUACAAGUUGUGACCGUAUGCUAGCUUUUCUGCAUCAGAAACAGCAAUGUUUCUAAGGUAGAAGACUAGAAAAAGGCUGUUUUUGUAACAUUUAAAAUAUGAUUAUCGAAAGAUAACUUUCUCACCCAGGUGUUUAACUGUAGGAGGAUGAAGUAACAGUAGAUGAAUAUUGUAGGUUUUUGGUCCAAUUAGUAAAUACCUCAGUCUUAUCCAAAUUUAAAAGAAGAAAAUUAUAUAUUUAAGACAUUGUAUAUCUUAACACAAUCUGUCAAAUUGGAUAAAUUAAAGAUUUCGUCGGGUAGUGGUCAU